rnacentral:lncRNA from 1 species
GGUUUUACUCUGUUGCCCAGGCUGGGGUGCAGGGGCAUGAACAUGGCUCACUGCACCCUUGACCUUCUGGGCUCAAGCGAUCCUCUUGCCUCAGGCUUCUGUUUAGCUGGGGCCACAGGCGGGCACCAAAAUGCCUGGCUAAUUUUUUUGUUUUUAUUUUGGUAGAGACGAGGUCUCACUUUGUUGCCCAUGCUGUUCUCAAACUUCUCGGCUCAAGUGAUCCUCCCACCUCGGCCUCCCAAAGUGCUGUGUUACAGGCAUAAGCCACUGCACCUGGUCUCUACUUCGUUCUUACUCUUCUUCCCGACUCUGUGAUCAGCUCUUUUUCCUCACUGACAUCUCUUAUCACCAGCAGAGGCCUACCACUAGACACCAGUGGUUCUACUUCCCUGGUUGAGCCCUGGUAGAUACGGUUCCUGAGAACUUCAUGGAGCAGUUUCUGCACCAAACCUGCCCUCUCUACCUCUGGACCUCUACGUGGAAAAGAGAAGUCCGUAUUGGAAGCCUUGACUCUGGCCCAGACAUUUCUGCUGUACCUCAUGUAGGGUGAGCCCAGGACCUGCCACACUGUGCCAGCCUCGCCCAAGCCACCCCCCAGCCAGGACGCGGUCUUUCCUGACUCAGCAGGCUGAGGCACCUGAGGCUUUCAUUUUAAUUAUGAACCACUUCAAAGCCUUUCUGGAAGCAGUCUCUGCAAUAACCAACCUGGGUUCUCUCCUAAUGUGGGGAUUGUCCUGGAGCCCAGGCCUUCCAAGGCUCCUCCGCCCGCCAACAUCACCUACCUCAUCUUCCUCUUCAGCACAUCCCCAACAUUGUCUAAGCGGUAACUCACCUGAGCAAAGCACUUGACACGGAUUCAUUCAUUUACUCCUCACAACAACCUGAUGAGAGCACUGAUUAACUUCAAAGGGGAAAAACAAUAACCUUUACAAUGGAUAGAUCUGGCAGGAACCAUGUUAACCAAGUGAUCAAAGGUAGCAUCACCAAUAAUGGGGCAAACCGACAUCCUGUGCUUCCCCAUUGAUGCGCCGAGAAGGACACAGCAUUGCUCAUGCAGCAUCCUUGUCAAAAAUGCGUAAACGGAAUCUAAUCAUGAGAAAACUGCCAGACAGCCAAACUCUUCAGAAAUGUCAAUAUAAUGAAAGGCAACAAAGAUUGAGAAUAACUUUACCAGGUUAAAGAAAACUAAAAAGAUAUGACAACUGACUGCAACGCAGAAUCCUGGACCAGACCCUGGAUCUGGUCAAAAGAAAAAUGCUUUAAACGACAGUAUUGGGACAAAGGGUAAAAUUUGAAUGUGGAUCAUGUAAUAGAUGAAUAAUAUAUUGUAUCAAUGAUAAAAAAAAAAAAAAA